rnacentral:misc_RNA from 1 species
GAUGAAGAACGCAGCGAAAUGCGAUACUUGGUGUGAAUUGCAGAAUCCCGUGAACCAUCGAGUCUUUGAACGCAAGUUGCGCCCGAAGCCAUCAGGUUGAGGGCACGUCUGCCUGGGCGUCACAUAUCGUUGCCCAAUGCCUAUUGCAGUGCAAUAGGAAUUUCUAGGGCGAAUGAUGGCUUCCCGUGAGCGUUGUUGCCUCGCGGUUGGUUGAAAAUCGAGUCCUUGGUAGGGUGUGCCAUGGUAGAUGGUGGUCGAGUUAGAACGAUACCGAUCAUGUGCAUGCUCCCCAAAAUAUGGCCUCUAUGACCCACACGCGUCUUUUGACGCUCAUGACGAGACCUCAGGUCAGGCGGGGCUACCCGCUGAAUUUAAGCAUAUCAAUUAGCGGAGGA